rnacentral:rRNA from 1 species
GACGAACGCUGGCGGCGUGCUUAACACAUGCAAGUCGAACGGAAAGGCCCUGCUUUUGUGGGGUGCUCGAGUGGCGAACGGGUGAGUAACACGUGAGUAACCUGCCCUUGACUUUGGGAUAACUUCAGGAAACUGGGGCUAAUACCGGAUAGGAGCUCCUGCUGCAUGGUGGGGGUUGGAAAGUUUCGGCGGUUGGGGAUGGACUCGCGGCUUAUCAGCUUGUUGGUGGGGUAGUGGCUUACCAAGGCUUUGACGGGUAGCCGGCCUAAGAGGGUGACCGGCCACAUGGGGACUGAGAUACGGCCCAGACUCCUACGGGAGGCAGCAGUGGGGAAUAUUGCACAAUGGGCGGAAGCCUGAUGCAGCAACGCCGCGUGCGGGAUGACGGCCUUCGGGUUGUAAACCGCUUUCGCCUGUGACGAAGCGUGAGUGACGGUAAUGGGUAAAGAAGCACCGGCUAACUACGUG